CUAAGUUUGAUGGCGACCGGCGCACGGGUGAGUAACACGUAUCCAACCUGCCGAUGACUCGGGGAUAGCCUUUCGAAAGAAAGAUUAAUACCCGAUGGCAUAGUUCUUCCGCAUGGUAGAACUAUUAAAGAAUUUCGGUCAUCGAUGGGGAUGCGUUCCAUUAGGUUGUUGGCGGGGUAACGGCCCACCAGGCCUUCGAUGGAUAGGGGUUCUGAGAGGAAGGUCCCCCACAUUGGAACUGAGACACGGUCCAAACUCCUACGGGAGGCAGCAUG
rnacentral:rRNA from 1 species